AUGGCCUGGGCUUCUCUCCUGCUCACACUGCUGGCUCACUGCAUAGGGGCCACUUCCCAGGCUUCGGUGACUCAGGAAGCCUCACUGUCCACAACUCCUGGGGGGACGGUCACACUCACCUGCGGCUCCAGUGCCGGGGCCGUCACCACUACUAACUAUGCCGGCUGGGUCCAACAGAAGCCCAACCAGGUACUCCAGGGUUUAAUAGGUGAUACCAGCAACCGGUUACCAGGGGUUCCUGGCCGAUUCUCUGGCUCCCUGCUUGGAAACAAGGCCGUCCUCACCAUCACGGGGGCCCAGCCCGAGGACGAGGCUGAGUACUACUGUGCUCUGUGGUUCAGCAACCAUUUCCACAGUGACAGAUGCAGGUGGCGAAGGGAGACAAAAUCCCCCGGCUCGCCCAGCCGGGUUGAUGAAAACAAGAUUAAAGAAGUGAUUUUAGAGGAGGGACCCCUGGUUAAGGCUGACCAGAAGGAGCUGGAGAAGGAGGGGAGCCAUCAUAGAGCCUUCAGGGCUGCUCCCAUGAGAGGGGAGUGA